UGGAACCCACCGCUACCUCUUCUCUUAGUUUGAGUUUCUCCCGCAUCAUUCAACAGCAAAACCUCUCAAAUCUUUCUCCAGCCAUCGAUGUCAACUCCUGAAAGAUUAUGUUCGGGCUGUUCAAUCUAUUAAGUUGAUAGGCCACCACGACUGUCUCUCUCUCUCUCUCUCUGCGCGACUCUGCCUCUCCGCUACUCCUCCAGUCGUCUUCAGCCUCCAGCCUACAGCCACGGGUUCUCUCUCUGCGGCAAAGACCCUCUCCGUUUCAGCCUCUCUCACUGUUUCUUCUCUCUGACUGGCAAGGAGCCAACCCAUAUCGUCAAAGGGAUUGAAGGAGAUUGGAAAGCAGGGAUUGAAGAAGGAGAUUGGGGCACCAAGCCGUCGACGGGGAGGAGAAGGAGAUUGGAAAGCAGGGAUUGAAGAAGAAACUCCUAAAGGAAGGUGAAGGCUGGGAUAUACCCCGAAGUACAGUGACGAGCUUCACUAUGUUUCUUUGUGCUUAUUGAUUCAUUUGGAUUGGGAUUGAUUGCGAUUAUGUUUGAAUUCAGUACAUCACACCGGGAAUUUGGUGGACGGGACACAGUUCGAUUCGAGGGGGGACAUGGAUCAGUUCACUCAGACAAGGUGUUAUAUUAUUCAGUAUCGAAUAUUUAUGCACACAAGGUGUUCGACAAAAUUGCUUUCUUUUGAGUUUAAGACUUUGGGUUUAACCUACAGCAGGUUUUGGUCUUUUUGUCUUAUGCCACUAGUGAUUGAUCUUAAUUACCAGGUACUAAAGUAUUUGGGUAAGUAGACAUCACGGGAAUGAUUGAGACUAGAGUGGUCAGCUGGUGACUUCCACCAAGGAGGUGCAUAUUACGUGUAAAGAUGCGGUUGUUUCCGGUUUAUCAGAUGGAGACCAAAGAGGCUAUUUCCGUUUACUAGAGGGAGUCCUGAAAGGUACUGACUUGUGAGAAUUGUCUAGAUUGUGAUGGAGGGUCGUAAGUAUUUAGAUCUGGUUUGUAUUGUAAAGGUUUCUUUAAAUCUCUCAUCCCAAAGGAUAAGUACAAGUAGGAAUUCAAUAGUUUUUUGUUUUUAUAAUUACCAUACGGCUUCAAGUUAAGCAGAGAGCACAUUUUUCUGUUUCGUUCAAGUUACCCAAAACAUUAUGAGGAAAAUUGCCAUACUGUUAUGGCAUACUUGGUUCAA